CGUGGCGCCGAGUGGGUCGUACCAAGUGCACCCUUCCGUUGGCCGCACCGCGCACCCUCCGUGGGGCCGACAGCGGUGGCCCCACCACUGUACCCAGGCGUCGCGCCCACGGCCGGAGCAAGAGACUAAGUCCAUGCCGGUGUGAAAAUUAAGAAAAGGAAACUUCGCUGAGAAUGGAGCCAGGAGGCCGGCAGGGGGCGCUCUUGGGCCCGGCGCUAGCUGUCCACCGCAGACCCAACCGGAAAAGGCAGACUGCGCAAGUGGUUACCCCUGUACUCUCCAAGCGAGGGUCAGGGAAAUUUCUUCUUGCCCCAGCAACAGCCCAGCCAACGACAGACAGAGCUCAGCCAUUGAGAAGCGACUGCACUUCAAGCUCCCAAUUUACUCCAAUGGACUUUGAGUUUGUAACCCCCAACUCCCCCCUUGCCUCUAUAAAAGAGUGGUCCUCUCCUGGGGUCAGGGACUUGCUGGUGGUUUGCUGGAGGUUGCUUGUCCCCUGUUGUAAUUCUCAGUGAUUGCUGAAUAAACCCGUCCUCUGCUGGGAAAA